UGAGGUCACACUCCAUGGGGAGAUGGUCACAUAAAGCUUCUUAGAAAAUGUCCGAAAUCCAGAGGGGCAGCCAAAUCUUAAAGCUCCAAAAUGAUCUCCUUUGACUCCAUGUCUCACAUCCUGAUCCUGCAGAUGCAAGAGGAGAUCUUAGAGACGAAAAAGGGGAAGCUCCAUUAAAAUUGGUAAAGGAAGAAACAUAAUAUGAAAGGAGGGAAAUAAUGAGGUAAAAGAUGUGGAGACUGCUUUCCAGACAAAGUAAGAAUGAACUUCACUUUGGAAUAACAAAGCAGUGCUUGCUUGGCAAGAUGGAGUCUUGUUCUUUCGCCCAGGCUGGAGGAGUGCAGUGGUGCGAUCUCUGCUCACUGCAACCUCUGCCUCCCGGGUUCAAGCAAUUCUCCUGCUUCAGCCUCCUGAGGAGUGGGAUUACAAGCGCCUGCCAUCAUGCCCAGAUAAUUUUUGUACUUUUAUUAGAGGAAGGGUUUCACCAUGUUAGCCAGGCUGGUCUCAAACUCCUGACCUCAAGUUAUUCGCCCUCCUCGGCCUCCCAAAUUGCUGGGAUUACAGGCAUGAGCCACUGUGCCUGGCCUGACAAAUGUUUUUUUAAGAGUGAGUCAGAGGGAGACUUGACACACAGAAGAGGAGGCAAUGUGACCAGGGAGCAGAGAUUGGAGUGGUGCAGCCCCCAGAAGCUGGGGAAAAGGAAUGCUGGCAUGAGUAAAGGAAUGCUGACAGCCCCCAGAAGCUGGAAGAUCUACAGAAUGGAUUCUCUCUAGGGACCUCAGAGCGAGUGUGGCCCCACUGUAUUUAGGACUUCUAGCCUCUAGAACUGUUUUAGAAUACAUUGCUGUUGUUGAAGUCAUUUAGUUUGUGUCAAUUUGUUGUGAUAGCCUAGGGAACUAAUAUAAUGAAGCAUGGAGAGAGAGAGAGAGAGAGGAUAAAAGGUGAAAAUCAUGUGCCAAAACUAAAGAAAAGAGAUGCUGACAUUUGUGAUUAAAUAGAAUAAUUGCACUAUUUAAGAUUAAUCACUUGAGCCUGGGAGGUGGAGGCUGUAGUGAGUCAUCAUGGUGCCACUGCAUUCCAGCCUGCAUGACAGAGAGAGACUCUGUCUUAGGAAAAAAAAAAAAGAUUAAGGUGGUCCAGAAUGCACCCAAGGAUAAAAUGCAAAGAUGAUCUUGCCCCAUGUAUAUUUUAGCAUACUACUUAGGUACUAUUUAUUUUUUAAUUAUCUCCUUUUUACAUUUUGACAAUUUUACC